AUUGAACGCUGGCGGCAGGCCUAACACAUGCAAGUCGAGCGGAUGAAGGGAGCUUGCUCCUGGAUUCAGCGGCGGACGGGUGAGUAAUGCCUAGGAAUCUGCCUGGUAGUGGGGGAUAACGUCCGGAAACGGGCGCUAAUACCGCAUACGUCCUGAGGGAGAAAGUGGGGGAUCUUCGGACCUCACGCUAUCAGAUGAGCCUAGGUCGGAUUAGCUAGUUGGUGGGGUAAAGGCCUACCAAGGCGACGAUCCGUAACUGGUCUGAGAGGAUGAUCAGUCACACUGGAACUGAGACACGGUACAGACUACUACGGGAGGCAGCAGUGGGGAAUAUUGGACAAUGGGCGAAAGCCUGAUCCAGCCAUGCCGCGUGUGUGAAGAAGGUCUUCGGAUUGUAAAGCACUUUAAGUUGGGAGGAAGGGCAGUAAGUUAAUACCUUGCUGUUUUGACGUUACCAACAGAAUAAGCACCGGCUAACUUCGUG
rnacentral:rRNA from 1 species